rnacentral:lncRNA from 1 species
UUUGUUGCGGUUGUUGUUGUUGACGUUGAUUUUGAUACUGAUGUUAUUGUUGUUGAAUUGGUGUUGUUGGUUGAUUUGAAAAUACUGGAAUGAUGGAAGAUACUUGAUGAUGAUGAUGUUGACGGGGUGGUAAAUUCCUUCUUACUUGAGGCCUCCUUUGCCUCCCACUGCUUACUGCAUUUGUUUCAUUUUCCUUCCUCUUGCUAAAAUUUC